rnacentral:rRNA from 1 species
GACGUAGGGCGCGAGCGUUGUCCGGAUUUAUUGGGCGUAAAGAGCUCGUAGGCGGCUUGUCGCGUCGUUCGUGAAAACCCGGGGCUCAACUCCGGGCUUGCGGGCGAUACGGGCAGGCUAGAGUUCGGUAGGGGAGACUGGAAUUCCUGGUGUAGCGGUGAAAUGCGCAGAUAUCAGGAGGAACACCGGUGGCGAAGGCGGGUCUCUGGGCCGAUACUGACACUCAGGAGCGAAAGCGUGGGGAGCGAUCCGG